rnacentral:rRNA from 1 species
GACGAACGCUGGCGGCGUGCCUAAUACAUGCAAGUCGAGCGCAGGAAACUGACGGAACUCUUCGGAGGGAAGGCAGUGGAAUGAGCGGCGGACGGGUGAGUAACACGUAAGGAACCUGCCUCAAGGAUUGGGAUAACUCCGAGAAAUCGGAGCUAAUACCGGAUAGUUCAACGGACCGCAUGGUCCGCUGAUGAAAGGCGCUCCGGCGUCACCUUGAGAUGGCCUUGCGGUGCAUUAGCUAGUUGGUGGGGUAACGGCCCACCAAGGCGACGAUGCAUAGACGACCUGAGAGGGUGAUCGGCCACACUGGGACUGAGACACGGCCCAGACUCCUACGGGAGGCAGCAGUAGGGAAUCUUCCAAAAUGGACGAAAGUCUGAUGGAGCAACGCCGCGCGAGUGAUGAAGGUUUUCGGAUCGUAAAACUCUGUUGUAAGGGAAGAACACGUACGAGAGGGAAUGCUCGUACCUUGACGGUACCUUACGAGAAAGCCACGGCUAACUACGUGCCAGCAGCCGCAGUAACAC